UACGGGGGGGGCAAGCGUUGUUCGGAAUUACUGGGCGUAAAGGGCGCGUAGGCGGCCUUCUAAGUCAGACGUGAAAUCCCUCGGCUUAACCGGGGAACUGCGUCUGAUACUGGAUGGCUUGAGUUUGGGAGAGGGACGCGGAAUUCCAGGUGUAGCGGUGAAAUGCGUAGAUAUCUGGAGGAACACCGGUGGCGAAGGCGGCGUCCUGGACCAACACUGACACUGAUGAGCGAAAGCCAGGGGAGCAAACGGG
rnacentral:rRNA from 1 species